UACGUAGGGUGCAAGCGUUAUCCGGAAUUAUUGGGCGUAAAGAGCUCGUAGGCGGUUUGUCACGUCUGCUGUGAAAACUGGAGGCUCAACCUCCAGCCUGCAGUGGGUACGGGCAGACUAGAGUGCGGUAGGGGAGAUUGGAAUUCCUGGUGUAGCGGUGGAAUGCGCAGAUAUCGGGAGGAACACCCGUAGCGAAGGCGGCACUCUGGGCCGGAACUGACGCUGAGGAGCGAAAGCGUGGGGAGCAAACAGG
rnacentral:rRNA from 1 species